AUUAUGUUUUACAGAUUAAAUAUAGCAUGUAGCAGAGAGGGUUCUGGUGAUCAUGGUGCAGUCAGGCUGGUAAGGCUCAUCAUCAGCUCAUUGCCCUUGCCCCCUCUACACGCAGCCCAGACAACGAAUGGGACUUCUCACAGGAAACGCUGCCUAGUCGAACCCACCAAGAACUUUCCGGA